CAUACCACCCUGAACGCGCCCGAUCUCGUCUGACCUCGGAAGGUAAGCAGGGCCAGGCCUGGUUAGGAUCUUGGAUGGGAGACCGCCUGGGAUGCUGGGCC
rnacentral:rRNA from 1 species